rfam:Triticum aestivum genome assembly, contig: Triticum_aestivum_CS42_TGACv1_scaffold_223021_3B
AUUCUACUCCCUCCGUUGCACAAUACAUGCCUUCUAUUUGUCAAAAUAUAUAUGUAUCUAGACAUGUUUUAGUAUAUAGGUACAUCCAUUUUUGGACAAAUGAAAGUCAAGUAUUUUGGAACGGAGGGAGUACACA